UACGUAGGGUGCAAGCGUUAAUCGGAAUUACUGGGCGUAAAGGGUGCGCAGGCGGUUGGGUGUGUCAGAUGUGAAAUCCCGAGGCUCAACCUCGGAACUGCGUCUGAAACUACUCGACUAGAGUACUGGAGAGGGUAACGGAAUUCACGGUGUAGCAGUGAAAUGCGUAGAUAUCGUGAGGAACACCAGAGGCGAAGGCGGUUACCUGGACAGUUACUGACGCUCAGGCACGAAAGCAUGGGGAGCAAAAGGG
rnacentral:rRNA from 1 species